rnacentral:lncRNA from 1 species
UGAUCUACAGUUACAGUGGGGCGAUUACACACCUGUCUUAGAUUGAGAGAAGAGAGAAAGGUUUCAACAACUUGAUAUUACUUGAUACUCCCUCAAUCUCGAGGAUUUUAAACAAACAGAGAAGAGUGAUAUACAGUUGAACCACAGACAAUAAAGGAAGAUAACUUAUCGAUUUAAAAAGAAAAAAAAAGGUAGAAAAUAAAGACAAAAAGAGAAUGAUAUACGGCUAGAAAAGAAGAAGAGAAGAGAAAGAGAGAAAGAGAAGAGAGAAUUUGGCAACAAGAGGAGAGGGGAAAAAGAAAGGAAAGAGCAGAAAAAGAAAGCAACAAACCCGAGAGGUACUUCUUAAACUUGGCAAAAUCAGCACCC